AUUGAACGCUGGCGGCAUGCCUUACACAUGCAAGUCGAACGGUAACGGGCCUUCGGGUGCCGACGAGUGGCGAACGGGUGAGUAAUGUAUCGGAACGUACCUAGUAGUGGGGGAUAACUACUCGAAAGAGUGGCUAAUACCGCAUGAGAUCUACGGAUGAAAGCAGGGGAUCGCAAGACCUUGUGCUACUAGAGCGGCCGAUGGCAGAUUAGGUAGUUGGGUGGAUAAAAGCUUACCAAGCCGACGAUCUGUAGCUGGUCUGAGAGGACGAUCAGCCACACUGGGACUGAGACACGGCCCAGACUCCUACGGGAGGCAGCAGUGGGGAAUUUUGGACAAGGGGCGCAAGCCUGAUCCAGCAAUGCCGCGUGCAGGAUGAAGGCCUUCGGGUUGUAAACUGCUUAUGUACGGAACGAAAAGCCCUGGGUUAAUACCCUGGGGUCAUGACGGUACCGUAAGAAUAAGCACCGGCUAACUACGUGCCAGCCGCUGCCGUAAAAC
rnacentral:rRNA from 1 species